rnacentral:rRNA from 1 species
UACGUAGGGGGCAAGCGUUGUCCGGAUUUACUGGGCGUAAAGAGCGUGUAGGCGGCCAGGUAGGUCGGUUGUGAAAACUGGAGGCUCAACCUUCAGAGGUCGACCGAAACCAUCUGGCUAGAGUCCGGGAGAGGAGAGUGGAAUUCCUGGUGUAGCGGUGAAAUGCGCAGAUAUCAGGAAGAACACCCGUGGCGAAAGCGGCUCUCUGGAACGGUACUGACGCUGAGACGCGAAAGCGUGGGGAGCGAACAGG